UCGAUUACUCUGGGUGCGUGACGGUGAUCGGCGGCGGAUACGCGCGGCGCAUCGGGAGCGAGCGCAUGCGAGCCUGAAGACGGCAGAAAGUGCAGAGUGGAGAGAGAGAACGGAGGCUGCCAGUCAGACACUAAUUGAUUUCAUCGUUAUUGUGUGCCUGCGUCCGUGAGACCUAACCAUUCACACAAAGCUGUGCCCAUGUUCUGUACUGUUGCCUGAACCUAUUAAACAGUCAAAUCAAAGAA